rnacentral:rRNA from 1 species
CCAAUAGCGUAUAUUAAAGUUGCUGCAGUUAAAAAGCUCGUAGUUGAAUUUCGGGACCAAUAUGUCGGUCGUGCUUUUGUACGUACUGAUAUAAUUGGUUUCUCCCUUCUGAAGAACCUUGAUGUCAUUAAUUUGGUGUCUUGGGGAAUCAGGACUGUUACUUUGAAAAAAUUAGAGUGUUUAAAGCAGGCUCGCGCUUGAAUACAUUAGCAUGGAAUAA